GAGUGUAUACAGUUUGGCAUAGUAAAAAUCUUCGUGUUCUUCAGUUAUCAUGUUUCUCUCAGUUACUAGAGCUUGAAAAUUGUGUGACAGUUGCUCCGAGGUUUCUGAGGCAGCCGGCCAACGCUCUCGCCUAUGAAAAGGAGCACGUGGAGCUGGAGUGCAGUGUGUACGGCCAGCCAGAGACCUCGCUCCACUGGCUCAAGAACGGCGAGCUGCUGGUGGAGACGGAAUACCUUCAGAGUGUGAGCGGCAACAACCUGGAGAUCCUUGGCCUGGUGCGCCAGGAGGACUCCGGGAUGUACCAGUGUGUGGCGCACAGCUCCGCCGGGGACGCCCAGCUGUGUGUCCUUGAGUCAAAGAACGCGUCCAGAACGUGAGUGCAGCUCCUCCAGCGAGGGACUGGAUGAAUACAAGACCCAGAUCAGCGACCUAAGUCCCGGGAGUAUCUACAUGGUCCGGCGGUCUGGUGGGCGCCUCCACACACGAGGUGCGGGUGUUCACCAAGCCGGACCUGGACCUGCCCUCCGCCCCAGAGUCUGAAAGUUGUCCCCACCUCACCCACCAAUCUGGAGGUCACUUGGUCGCCGCCCGUACUGGCCAAAACGCCCAUCACGGGAUACACCAUGUUCUAUACGCAGUUUUCUCCUCAGCUUGGGUCAGCAGAAGAACACGAGGUAGAGGUCACUGGUACGGCAUGUGACCUCCAAGGCCUGGACCAAUUCACUGAGCACAGCGUGUGGCUCACCGCCGUCAGCAGUAAUGGAGGGGGAGACGCCACCCCGGAGGUCACUGCCAGAACCUUCUCAGACGUGCCUUCAGAGGAACCUCAG